GCGGGCUCAGCUUCUCGGGCGCGCCCCCGUCACCCCCUCCCAGGUCCUCUGCGGACAGCGCUGAGGGGGCGCGCGCACGGCAGGGCCUCCUCCGGCCUCUGCGACUGGCGUCCAUCUGUCUGUCCGAGGCUCUGGAACAGAGUUCCAGGAGGAGAACGCGGUGCGCAGAGGAAGCUGCCUUGGCCGAGUCGGUGCCACGGCUGGCAAGGCGGGGGUCUCCCAGCACCACCCCUGAGAGCAGGAGAAGAUGCCACACGGGAGGUCCUUCUGAAUACAAGACCUUUCCCCUCACCGCUGAGAUAAGCUCAAAUUCAAGCCCGGCCGCCACCGAAUGGUUCAAUGCCCAGCGUCCAGACAGGCCCAGAGCGCCGUCUACGCCUAUGCACGGCGGAUCCCCUAGCCUGCAUCGGCCUCGUUCUUAUUGAAAUCCCACUGAAAAGAUUCCGACUCCGACUUGGGCAGGGGAAGACUUCCAUACCCUACGCUCUCCCCCACCUGCACCCUCGCCACACAGGAUAAAAGGCCGCGGGGCGCUUCGAGCGGGGGGCACAAGCAGGAGCGAGCCGGGUUAAGCCGUGCAAAGCCGGUGCACGGGACUAGCCGGCAGGUGCAGCCAGCGCCCGGGCAGCCCUGCUUGGGCGCAUCCGUUGCCGCGACCCGGGGGUGGGGAACCACAGAGACAAAGGCCCCAGCUCUAGGGUGGGAGGGGGGCGCGUCGCAAAGCUCUGGAAAGCCGGGUCUCCAGGUCCAGAGCUCCGGAAAAACGGAAGACAGGAGGCCCCAGGCGGGCCUUUGGGUUUCCGGAUGACCUGGGUUUGAGGCACUGGAAGGAUUGUGCGAUCCGGUUGUUGGGAAGGCCCAGCCUGGGACCGGGAGGCUCGGGACGGCGCGGGCCGAGUGCAGGAACUUACCGACUGCGGCGCGGUGGGCGGCGCCCUCGGGCGGCUACGGCCAGGGCUCAGAAAGGAGGCAGCGGUGUGCGCAGCGUGGCUGGUCGGCCCUCGGGAGCCAGGGCGGCCGCGGCGGUCACCAGUGGGGCCCCGCGGAGCGGAACGCAAGCUAGUCGUGUAGGCGGCCGCUUUUGUCCCCCCAAGACCAGCUAUGGUUGAGGUGAUCUCAGGCCAGAGAGACCUGAGCAGUGAGCUACCGCCUCGCUGGCCUGGCUACCUCUCUUGAUUCUGGCUGCCUCUCGGUUCCCGGCCGCAGAGCGGCAGCUUUUUAUUUCGACAUCACUUCGAGGGGGAGGGAACGCCGCAGGGGGGCAGGAGGGUGCCCGGGCUCUGCGCCCUGUCUGCCUGGUCCAGCCGCCGGGCUGGCCAGGCUUGGGCCACUAGUCAGUCGAAGCGCGCACACCCUGCAGGCCACUCCCGCCUUCUCUGGGCCACGCAAGCACUUCUCCUCUCAGGGAUGUAAUCUCAGAAAGCUUGGGAUGUCUCUCUUUUGAGACUCUCCCUCACAAGCAAGUACACAGACACCUGCCCCUCCUUUCAUACGCGCUGUCGUUCUGUAGAUGUCCCUAGACAGGGACUCUCUGGCACACAAACACCGGUGCACAUAUAGAUAUAAUGUGUACACACACACACACACACACACACACACACACACACACACACACACACACCUCCCGUACUGCCUGCACAUUUGGCUAUGUGUAGAUGUUUUCUCACCUUCUUCCCUACAGACGUCGCCGGUUCCCAACUCAGAAGCCUUUUAGGAAUGAAAUUUCUGGUGUGUCUUUGGCCCAUUCUUGGUGAACCUCUUGCAUCAGAAAGAGCCACACAAGGAGAGCAAAAAGCUUGUCCUUAGAAGGGUAUUCUGAGGCAGCCCGGUGGCAGUCUACACCCUAAGGAGACACCUGAGCUAGAUAGCAAUGCGAAUCCAUUCCUUGUAUUACCCUAAACCCCUCUCUGAGAAAUUCAAAGAACCCCACAGACUUACUCUGCUCGGAAAGACUUUGCAUCCUGGUGUGCUCCAUCCAGGGAGUAGGUCUGUCCCUGCAACCACAUCCUUGUAGCACCAGAUGUUUUGGAUCUUUCUGAAUCUGUUGCUUUGUGUACGUACCAUCUAUGCAGCUCAGUUUAUGUGACUAGUGGCCUAUGUAUUCACCACAGGGAGCUAACGGGAAUGUUUGCAAAACUUAAGGGUAUCCCUAAGCAUUUGUAUUGGAUGGUAGGUCACAGCAUGACUGUUAUCCGUGUGUGGCCCCACAAGUGCACACAGGAGAGUGUCCGUGGAACUGGGUGUAUCUCUCUCUGUGUGUAUUUAUAUAUCUUGGAAAUAGACCAUCAUCUUCAAGAAUCACGUGAUAGACAGCCGGUAUCAUAAGUAUGUCUUAAUCAGUGUGAUGACUUUGUAGAUUUGUGUAUUUAUCUAAGCAUGCAUUUGUUUGUCUUUAAUAGUCUGGCUAUCUGUGUAGCUCUCUGUGUGUAUGUGUGUGUGCCCCUGCAUAUGUGUGAGUGUGUACAAGAGAGAUGUUUGCAAUGUGUGAGAAUACUCACGGACCAUUCUAUUAAUUAAUUGAGGCGGGAGGCCAGUGUAUCUGAGGCCACACAGUUGUGUGUGUUUAUUUUAAAGCAAGGUAUGACUGUAUCACCAUGGCUGGCCUGGAACUCAUAAUGAUCUGCCUGCCUCUGCCUCCUGAGUGCUGGGAUUAAAGGUAUGUCCUGCCACUCAGGGUUAGCAUCUCUUAAUGGCAGGUGUUGACAUCUAACUUUGAGCUGAAGGUGGAUGGGGACAAACACAUCCAGGUAUGUCUGCAUAUCUGUUGCUUCCGGUGAAACUGAUGUCUGUGGCCAUGCUUGAGGGGUGGGCACCUGUGUCCAUCCUGGACCUGUGUUUCUGUAUCCAGGGUUAUACUCUAUGUCUGGUGGGGGAGGGGUGUGGAGACAGUAUGUGUAUCAUCCAGGCUCCCCAGCCACCAGCACCUUCCCUAACCAUCAGGGCAGGCAGCCAGUGGAGCCCCGGGGUGCCAUUUACUCUGGCACUUUCUGUCUGUCUGUGGGAGGGGGAGAUGGGCUGAUAAGCCUUAUCUGCUAUUACCAGGGCCAUGCUGAAUAACCGUUCUAAUGAGGCAGCCUCACUGGGACCACCAGCUCCCAGGCCCCGUUCCUAUUGGGUAGGGAUAUAGCCAGCCAGACCUGGAGCAUAGAGCCAAUCCACCAGAGACCUGGUAGAGCCUGUGCCCCAGAGACUAUUAUUAUUAUUAUUAUUAUUAUUAUUAUUAUUAUUAUUAUUAUUAUGUCUGCCUUGUUUCUUAGAGGAAGGGCCUAGGAACUGCAGCCAAGAAUAAGUCCUCUCUUUUCCCUGGGCUGGGCUGGUUAGAGAGACAGGAGCCCCUCAAUCUGAUCCUCUGAAGGCAGGCGGUAUGAGGACCAGGCCUUGGGAUGGAGUGAAUUGGAGUCCCAGUGACAAAGAUCGAGAGAGAGAGAGAGAGAGAGAGAGAGAGAGAGAGAGAGAGAGAGAGGGAGAGAGAGAGAGAGACAAGCAGCAGGGGUCCUGAGGGGACAGACUUUUUUUUUUUUUAAUGUAGCCACGCUAAGGGGCAGAAGCGCUGGCACGGUGGGCCUGGGGCCUGGGGUACUCAGACUAAAAUAAAUAAUUAGCAAAUGUAAGAAUGAAUCAGAGAGGUGGGCAUAAAGACGAAGAAAGUAUCAACCAGUGAGAGGCACGGACACCGAGACAGAAUCGAGGUGCCAGACUGGAGAGGGACUACAGAAAACAGGUGAGGAGAGCAGGGAGCAAGGAGAGAAGGGCCCAGAGAGGCGUGGGCAGGGGGAAGAACGCAGGCCUGAGGGGAAAGGACGGACCAAAGAUGUAGAGACUGAGCCGACCUGGCCGAAGGGAAGCCAGGUCCUUGGAGACCCGGCAAGGCGUGAGCUAAGGCUGGGACCCCAGGCAGGGCACGGAUCGCCGGGCGGUGGCGACGGGCAGGGGGGUCUGAGUGGGCCUGAGCCGCUGUCCCGGGUAAUUUUUCAUCUCGGCCGGCUAAUCUUUGUUCCCGGCGAAGAUAAUGAAUAGCCAAUCGUUAUCUGCCCGGCUCCCGGAGGCUGCCCGAGAAUGGGGUUGUACAGGGCUGGGAAUUGUUUCCAAAGUGCCGCGGAAUAAAUGGUGUUUCUUAUCUCUGCCUUCCAGAUUAUCGCAGCCCUUUCAGAGCGCACACAACAAAUGCGCCCGCCAUCGAAUGCAGCAUUUACCACCACAGAUCCGCGCGCCGAUGGGCAGGCUGAUAGCGUCCGCGGGGGGCUCGCCGGGGCGAGUGUGCGCCCCGGCUCUGCCUGGUGUGUUUGGAGGAACACGUGGGUAUGCCAGCGAGUGGACCCAGAGCGAGCAAGGAUGUGAGUGUGCGAGUAAGUGUGCCUCGAGAAAGUUCACGUGUGCGAGACCCUGCGCACACACAUGGUGAGUGUUCGUGGCGAGUGCCAGAGAAGAGGCCGGCGAGAGGCAGGCGGGAAAGGAUGCUGCACGUGACCUCGUGGGAAGCACGCUGCUAGUGUGUGCAGUGUGCUAGCCGCGUGCACGAGACAAUUUACUGUGAGGGCCUACAAGUACCUAGCUUUCGAGGAUGCUGUUUGGGGGUGCGGAACAAAGGGGUUCGAAGCCACUCCUGAAUGGUAUGCGUAGCAUUUGCAGGCCGCACUCCAUAAGGAGUAUUUCUGAAGCUGCUGGGUGGCUGGUAGCUGACGUUUACGCCAGCAGCUCAGGCCUUUGGAACCCGCACGGAUCUGUGGACAGUGUGGACGCAGAACAACUAGAUGUACAGAACGAUGCGCGAAGCUAAGGACCAGUCUUCUCGGGCCUUGACUGAGCCUGUGUUGUGCUACUCUGGGCUGGACAUUGGCUGUGAGGAUGAGACCGCUGUACGCUCGGUCCGGGAAGUGCUGGAGAGUGACACCCGGCUAGCGGCUGUGGCGUUUGAGAGCGUCCAGGGAUCCUGGUGCUGGCUUUGGGGCCCCUCCGCCAAGGCCUUGCAGCUGGGGCAACAGAGCCCAGCCCGCCGCCCGAGGUCCGGGACGUGAGUGACACGCGCCGCCACAAAGGCUGUAUUUUUCCAGGCCCGCGCCCCGCCCGCGCGCGAUGGUCCCCAUGGCGACGCAGAUAGCGCGCGGCCAUUUUCCUAUCUCCCCGGAGUCUAUUAUACAGCGGGAUUAGCUCAUCUCCAGGCAGGUCAAACCCAAAGUCACACAACCUGCGGCGUGAGCCCCGCCUCCGGCCGCUCCUCCCCCGCCGCCAGAGCGGGCGACCCCCGCGGCUGGCUGGCCGGUGCGCGGGUUCAGAGCGCCACCUGGCGGCCGCGCGUUCUCAGGCCCGCUGCGUGAGAGGCAGCAGGUGCCCAAGGCGUUGGCUUUGUGUGGUUGCUUGGGCGACUCCAAGGGAAAGGCUGGCUGGCACACAGUAGGUGCCCCACAACCGCUGCUGGAAGGAUGGACGGGCAGGAAACUAGACAGGGACUGACUGCCAAAGGCCACCGCAUGUUGGUAACAAAAACCCAUUCUACUGAGUGAAGAAAAGCCAAUCUCCUUUGCAACCGUGGUAGCAGCCUUGCUGAUCCCCAGGUCCAGUUUCCUUCCUCCUCCUUUCAGGGACAGUGGCCUUGAAGUUCUUUGGAGUCUCUGGACAGGAACCCCUUUUCCCUCCGGUCUACUGGUCUCUCCACUGGGCAAAGUCUGCCUAUGGUCAAAUGUCACCCAUUAGAAGGUAAUUAAUUACCUUCUCCUCUCUCCUAUUCCCUCUAUCCUAUGGUCAAUUUCACAGUUUCUAGUGAAUUCUCUAAUAACAUUUGCUUGUUCAGGGAUCUGUGAUGUUCAGGUUACAAAGCUUUCCUUGCGUCUUUGAACCUGGGAUACUCACUGGCUGUGAGGUACAAGAGUUACUUAGCAACCACUCCUGCCUCCAGGACCUGACCCCACCUGCCUGCCUGAUCUGAAUGGGAGGGAGCUACAUGGCCCCUCCCUUCUAUGCCUCUGCUGAGGUGAAUUCACCCCAUCUUGCUCUCCUAGAGCAGAUCCUGGGUAGCAGUGCUACUGGUGGUGGUGGUGGAGGUGCUUGAACCACAGGAAACCUUAUGAUUUAGGUUAACUAGAGCAGUCCUGGCCUUGGUGGUCCAUUGAUGACUAUGGAGCUGGGACACUGCCAAAAGGAACUUAAGCAGGCUCCAUCCUGGGUUUGGGGGAGGGGGUUGGGAAUAGCUCUGAACAGGAGUUCUGAGAGUCACCUUCAAGUUCUAGCAGCUUCCUCAGCACUGUCCUGGAAAAGGAGCUGGGACCUCCGGGUCCACAGACCAUAGACCUCCCCCUCCCACAUGGUCCACACACCCUAUCAGCAUAGCAACUUUUUUUUUUUUUGGUUCUUUUUUUCGGAGCUGGGGACCGAACCCAGGGCCUUGCGCUUCCUAGGCAAGCGCUCUACCACUGAGCUAAAUCCCCAACCCCAGCAUGGCAACUUUUUUAUGCCAGUCUCUUUCCCACUCUGAGCCUCUGGUUCUGCCUCUGAACUCCUCCAUCCAGGAACAGGGACUGUGGGGCAAGCUUGCCUUUAAACAGCAUAUUGUGAGCCUGACUUGUCAAGUUGGCAGCCAAAGUCUCCAGCCUGUACCACGUCCAACGUCCGCCAGCACUAGGAGUGGAAGAUCUCAUGUACAGAAUCUCAUUUCUUGCUUCCCAUGAAACACUUCGAGACCCCACUUUGUGCCUGAGUUCUUGCAUGGUGAAGAAAGGCUGGAGUGUUGCAGGGGCCCCUUGAGCACCUGAAUCCAACCCACAGCCCAGUCCUUAGAUCAGGGAUGUGGCCCUCACUGGGACACUGAGUACCAGUGGCUGGGGUAGUUUUACCUUCCCUUCUAGCACUGGGGACUUCUGGCUUGCUUCUCCCUGUAGGACCAGUAAACCACUUGGCAAUUACUAGUCAAUGAUUUAAAGCAAUCAACACUUAAGGGGGCACACAGAGCCAUACUAUAAAGGUCCUCAGUGGUGCAUACUGAACUGUGCCCAGUGUAGUGAAAAGUCAGGUCUGACUCAUCACAAAGAUCAAUGCGUCGUCAGAUUGUGUAAAGACCAUUGGUGGCAUGUUUUCUAAUAUCCAGGUCUUCCUCUGAACAACAGGAGCCACUAAGAGGAACAUGGAUAUCACCACUGUGUGUAGCAUCCAGAGAGUGGCCAUCAGUAGGCCCAGCCACAGCCACAGCCAUAAGGGGGUCUGAGAGAGGUGUUUACAAGAAUUUAGGAACACGCCAUAUAAAGAGGGUUGACCGGGCCAGCAAGAUGCCUUAGUGGAUACAGACUUGCCACCAAGCCUGACCUGAAUUCAAUCCCUAGGACCCACAUAGUGGAAGGAGAGAACCAACUUCAGCAAGUUGUCUUUUGGCCCUGACCCUGCCUUCCCCAUAAAUAAAUGCAAAAUAAUGUCAACAAACUAAUAGAAAACACAGUAGGAAAAUUCACGAAGGGAAUAGAGAGAAGAUUCAUUGAAAAGUAAUGUCUCCUAAUAAAUCAAAAUAUGCAAUGUCUAA